rnacentral:rRNA from 1 species
AUUGAACGCUGGCGGCAGGCCUAACACAUGCAAGUCGAGCGAGAGGCGGACGGGUGAGUAAAGUAUGGGGACUGCCCGAUAGAGGGGGAUAACUACAGGAGAAGGUAGCUACUACCGCAUACUAUCGGAUAACCCAUAUGGGAUUAGCUAGUGGGUGGGGUAAUGGCGCACCUAGGCGACGAUCCCUAGCUGGUCUGAGAGGAUGAUCAGCCACACUGGGACUGAGACACGGCCCAGACUCCUACGGAGGCAGCAGUGGGGAAUAUUGCACAAGGGGCGCAAGCCUGAUGCAGCCAUGCCGCGUGUAUGAAGAAGGCCUUAGGGUUGUAAAGUACUUUCAGUCGGGAGGCGUUACCGACAGAAGAAGCACCGGCUAACUCCGUGCCAGCAGCCGCGGUAAUAC